rnacentral:rRNA from 1 species
GACGAACGCUGGCGGCGUGCUUAACACAUGCAAGUCGAACGGAAAGGCCCUGCUUUUGUGGGGUGCUCGAGUGGCGAACGGGUGAGUAAAACGUGAGUAACCUGCCCUUGACUUUGGGAUAACUUCAGGAAAAUGGGGCUAAUACCGGAUAGGAGCUCCUGAUGCAUGGUGGGGGUUGGAAAGUUUCGGCGGUUGGGGAUGGAAUCGCGGCUUAUCAGCUUGUUGGUGGGGUAGUGGCUUACCAAGGCUUUGACGGGUAGCCGGCCUGAGAGGGUGACCGGCCACAUUGGGACUGAGAUACGGCCCAGACUCCUACGGGAGGCAGCAGUGGGGAAUAUUGCACAAUGGGCGGAAGCCUGAUGCAGCAACGCCGCGUGCGGGAUGACGGCCUUCGGGUUGUAAACCGCUUUCGCCUGUGACGAAGCGUGAGUGACGGUAAUGGGUAAAGAAGCACCGGCUAACUACGUG